CAUUCAUGCAGCACUUUGAGAGCAAGCAUCCCAAAUCCCCAAUGCCCCCAGAGCUGGAUGAUGUUGAGGCUUAAAAGACCAACACACACAAUGGACCUACAGCUGGACACACGAUGACCACGAUUAGAGCGCUGCAACUGGAACUUAAUGGCGUCAAGAGACAAAAUACUGAGACCCCUGGACAUGGGUGGGGGAUAUUUGUGACAAUGACCUAAAAAAGGGGGGCAGAAGCACACCAGCACCCCAUCUUAUAUGUCCAACCAUCCCUGAACUUCAGACUUUGAAGCACCCAUCUUAAUUAUAUGAGCCCACUCUACCUACAUCCCUUUUCCCCAUGGUGCUUCCUUCAUUAAUACCUGAUUCAGUAACAUCUAGACUGUUACACGUCUAAAAGUAUCAGGGUGUUACUGUUUUUGCAACUUUUUCUCAGUUGUGUACCGCUGUCUUCCUUUAACCCACAACUCUUUUCUAUACCUCCUCCCAUACACUCUUGUGCAAAUCAUUUCUGCUUUCUUUGAGAAUGGUGUCAUAGUGGAAAGGAUUUGUUAUUUGCCUAAGACUGAGUCUUGUUCUGCCUGUAAAAGGCCCUGGUUGAAACCGUGCCAAAAUCACUGUGGAUAUUUCCAAGAAAUGUAGCAAUAUAUAUGAAAUCAUUCCUCUGCCUAUUUGAUCCAUUCUGAAGGAAAGCAGUGAAUAUGUUUUGUGUGUGAGAGAGAAUAUGUAUGCCUUGUAAAUCUAGCAGAAAAUGUGUUGCUUCCAAAUGCAAGUUAAACGCCAUUCCGUCUAUACUGAUACCAGACAAAU